rnacentral:rRNA from 1 species
GACGAACGCUGGCGGCGUGCCUAAUACAUGCAAGUUGAGCGCUGAAGGUUGGUACUUGUACCGACUGGAUGAGCAGCGAACGGGUGAGUAACGCGUGGGGAAUCUGCCUUUGAGCGGGGGACAACAUUUGGAAACGAAUGCUAAUACCGCAUAAAAACUUUAAACACAAGUUUUAAGUUUGAAAGAUGCAAUUGCAUCACUCAAAGAUGAUCCCGCGUUGUAUUAGCUAGUUGGUGAGGUAAAGGCUCACCAAGGCGAUGAUACAUAGCCGACCUGAGAGGGUGAUCGGCCACAUUGGGACUGAGACACGGCCCAAACUCCUACGGGAGGCAGCAGUAGGGAAUCUUCGGCAAUGGACGAAAGUCUGACCGAGCAACGCCGCGUGAGUGAAGAAGGUUUUCGGAUCGUAAAACUCUGUUGGUAGAGAAGGACGUUGGUGAGAGUGGAAAGCUCAUCAAGUGACGGUAACUACCCAGAAAGGGACGGCUAACUACGU